UCUGGUGGUGAUGGCGGAGGGGACCCACCCGUUCCCAUCCCGAACACGGAAGUUAAGCCCUCCUGCGCCGAUGGUACUUGGAGCGCGAGCUCCUGGGAGAGUAGGACAUUGCCGGGC
rnacentral:rRNA from 1 species